UGAAGCAGGCUGCCAUUAUGGGAAGGUACGAUAGAUGAGGGUGCGUCUCCUCUGGACUUCAAGGGCUCUCUUACUUGCUUCUGGGUUUGGGAUCUGCAUCAGUGCCGUUUUUUAUUUCAAAGGAAGUGAGUCCCGGAUAUCUCUGGCAGGCGCUGAACAGGCUCAGCUAGCAAACCAAUCCUCAGCUUGGAAUGACUGUUUCCAGCAGAAGCCUCUUGCAAAUUACACACACUUUAAACUCAGCCUUGACUUGGAACAGGAAUCCUUGUUAUGCUUUUGACUACAAAUCCCAGUACACAGUUCACCUACCACAAUACCGGAACUAGAGGAUCUCUGGUCUGAUCCAACAGCGUUAUUAUUAUUAUUUUAAAGUUUUCUGAUCUUGUUUUUGUAAGGAAGUCCUGGAAACUCUACUGAAGGGCAGCUCAUAAAUAAAUAAGGAAUAUGGCUGAUACAUUCUAAUACAUUUAUUCUGAGUCAGGAAAAUAUUGCAAGUUUAAGCGUUUGACCAAUUUGAGAAAAUGAUGUAGAGAAAUCCAGCCACAAACAAAAAGACCAUUUUUUAAAAAUAUGUUUUUAUUAAAAUCUUAUUAAAAAGGAAUCACAUAAAAUAAAGGUAUAAAUAAUGGCUUUUAAGGCAUGUUCCCCUCCACCUGUCUUCUAAACAUUACAUAUUCGAAAAGGUAAGCUAAAUAUACAGACCUAAAACCAGAGAAAGCCACUUUAAAAAACAACAACCACCCUAUCAAUUGUACAGUAAUCAUAUAAAGCAGUUAACUCUGAAAAACACUUGGUAGGGGAAAAAACUGGCACCUUCACCAGAAUGUCCACCUAAAAUUAAAAAUGGAUUUCUUGGCUGAGAAAUG